rnacentral:rRNA from 1 species
GAUGAACGCUGGCGGCGUGCCUAAUACAUGCAAGUCGAGCGAACGGACGAGAAGCUUGCUUCUCUGAUGUUAGCGGCGGACGGGUGAGUAACACGUGGAUAACCUACCUAUAAGACUGGGAUAACUUCGGGAAACCGGAGCUAAUACCGGAUAAUAUUUUGAACCGCAUGGUUCAAAAGUGAAAGACGGUCUUGCUGUCACUUAUAGAUGGAUCCGCGCUGCAUUAGCUAGUUGGUAAGGUAACGGCUUACCAAGGCAACGAUGCAUAGCCGACCUGAGAGGGUGAUCGGCCACCCUGGAACUGAGACACGGUCCAGACUCCUACGGGAGGCAGCAGUAGGGAAUCUUCCGCAAUGGGCGAAAGCCUGACUGAGCAACGCCGCGUGAGUGAUGAAGGUCUUCGGAUCGUAAAACUCUGUUAUUAGGGAAGAACAUAUGUGUAAGUAACUGUGCACAUCUUGACGGUACCUAAUCAGAAAGCCACGGCUAACUACGUG